rnacentral:rRNA from 1 species
GGUUAAGCGACUAAGCGUACACGGUGGAUGCCCUGGCAGUCAGAGGCGAUGAAGGGCGUGCUAAUCUGCGAUAAGCGCCGGUAAGGUGAUAUGAACCGUUAUAACCGGCGAUACCCGAAUGGGGAAACCCAGUGUGACUCGUCACACUAUCAUUAACUGAAUCCAUAGGUUAAUGAGGCGAACCGGGGGAACUGAAACAUCUAAGUACCCCGAGGAAAAGAAAUCAACCGAGAUUCCCCCAGUAGCGGCGAGCGAACGGGGAGGAGCCCAGAGCCUGAAUCAGCAUGUGUGUUAGUGGAAGCGUCUGGAAAGGCGCGCGAUACAGGGUGACAGCCCCGUACACAAAAGCGCAUGUGCUGUGAGCUCGAUGAGUAGGGCGGGACACGUGGUAUCCUGUCUGAAUAUGGGGGGACCAUCCUCCAAGGCUAAAUACUCCUGACUGACCGAUAGUGAACCAGUACCGUGAGGGAAAGGCGAAAAGAACCCCGGCGAGGGGAGUGAAAAAGAACCUGAAACCGUGUACGUACAAGCAGUGGGAGCACAGGUUUACCUGUGUGACUGCGUACCUUUUGUAUAAUGGGUCAGCGACUUAUAUUCUGUAGCAAGGUUAACCGUAUAGGGGAGCCGUAGGGAAACCGAGUCUUAACCGGGCGUUAAGUUGCAGGGUAUAGACCCGAAACCCGGUGAUCUAGCCAUGGGCAGGUUGAAGGUUGGGUAACACUAACUGGAGGACCGAACCGACUAAUGUUGAAAAAUUAGCGGAUGACCUGUGGCUGGGGGUGAAAGGCCAAUCAAACCGGGAGAUAGCUGGUUCUCCCCGAAAGCUAUUUAGGUAGCGCCUCGUGAAUUCAUCUCCGGGGGUAGAGCACUGUUUCGGCUAGGGGGCCAUCCCGGCUUACCAACCCGAUGCAAACUGCGAAUACCGGAGAAUGUUAUCACGGGAGACACACGGCGGGUGCUAACGUCCGUCGUGAAGAGGGAAACAACCCAGACCGCCAGCUAAGGUCCCAAAGUCAUGGUUAAGUGGGAAACGAUGUGGGAAGGCCCAGACAGCCAGGAUGUUGGCUUAGAAGCAGCCAUCAUUUAAAGAAAGCGUAAUAGCUCACUGGUCGAGUCGGCCUGCGCGGAAGAUGUAACGGGGCUAAACCAUGCACCGAAGCUGCGGCAGCGACGCUGAUGCGUUGUUGGGUAGGGGAGCGUUCUGUAAGCCUGCGAAGGU